UCCCUGGGAUUUUACCAGCCGCGCUCGCUUGCCGUCUUCAUCUUUCCCAGCCGAUCCCCUCUCCCUCACGGCGUCCUCUCCCAUGGCCGUCGGCCCUCCCUGCCAUGGUGGUCACGCCGCUGCUCGUCCUCGCUGCUCCCCAGUGCUCGGCCAGGGAGCUUCCUUUCCUCUCGCGCCCAUCUCCCUCUCGCCUUUCCUUGCUCGCCAGCCAUGUCCCUGGCGCCCGUUCCGGCUACAGUCUCCCCCAUGGUGGCUCUUUGGUCCUUUUCUGCAGCUGGUCAGCAUCCCAUCCCCUUCCCUCUCUGCUGAUGUCCGCGGCACCCAGAAUCCUUCCCAGACGCGCUCGACCCCCUUCCUGCAGCCGGCCGUCGUUUCCCCUCGCUGCUCUUGGAGCCGGUCGUCCCCGUCGUGAGCCCCUUCUUGGUCGCCUCUCUUUUUUCCCCAUCCGGCCGUCGUUCUUCAGAACAGGUCAUCACGGCGCCUCAGUCCAACGCGCCGCUGCAUCGCCCUUUCUAGCGUCGGCCUUGGAACCGCUUCCCCUAGCGCCCCAGUCGAGCUCGCCUAGGCCGCGGCCUCGCCGAACCGUGCAGCCCCUGCUCUCCUUCCCCAGCCGCGCUUAGCCCAGCCCUCCCUCCUAGCUCCCUGCUCUUUUCCAUCGCCCAAGAUUUGGCCAGCGCUCUCCCUACUCGCCUCUACCCUGCUGCUCCCCUAUGUGUUGUGCGAUGGGGAAUUUUUAGUUGCGGCAAUCGCUAUCUGAACCUCCAAUGUUCAUGUUCUUUUGGUGUGCAAUUUCAGGUACGCUAGAUGAUUAUGCGAAUGGGAGAGCAUGGAUCAGGAUGGAUCACAAGGUGGCUUUGAUGGCCCCAUCCCGAUAUGGACGACUUGAUCAAGUGUCAGGAUUUUUGAGGCUCGCCAAGCGGACAUCAUCUAACCAUACUAACCUAGUGUUAUUCUAGGAAAGCCCCGGUGCAUUUGCCAGCUCCUUCUGUUUUAAAAAGUUUUAGCACCUUGAAUGAUGCAUUAGGUGAUAGGAGUUGUGUGAUCAAACAGUUGAUGCAUUUCCUUCCUUGAUUAAACAACCCUAAUACCCGUUUUAUGAAAAUUUAGUGAUGCUUAGCCCUGCUUAUUAAUUUAGGAUUGUUUUUAAAAUAUGAUGUGUUACAUGGGAUAUGGGAAUUUAUGAAAUAAAAGAAUUUGUGAUGAUGAA